CACGUAGGGCGCAAGCGUUGUCCGGAAUUAUUGGGCGUAAAGAGCUCGUAGGCGGUCUGUUACGUCUGCUGUGAAAACCCGGGGCUUAACCCUGGGCUUGCAGUGGAUACGGGCAGACUAGAGGCAGGUAGGGGAGAAUGGAAUUCCCGGUGUAGCGGUGAAAUGCGCAGAUAUCGGGAGGAAUACCGAUGGCGAAGGCAGCCUCCUGGGCCAACACUGACGCUCAUGCACGAAAGCGUGGGGAGCAAACAGG
rnacentral:rRNA from 1 species